rnacentral:rRNA from 1 species
GGAUGAACGCUGACAGAAUGCUUAACACAUGCAAGUCUAUGAGAAGAUCUACUUCGGUAGAAGGUAUCAUGGCGGACGGGUGAGUAACGCGUAAAGAACUUGCCUCUUAGACUGGGAUAACAGAUGGAAACGUCUGAUAAGACUAGAUAUAAUAGCGACAUGGCAUCAUGUUGUUAUGAAAGGUAACACUAAGAGAGAGCUUUGCGUCCUAUUAGUUAGUUGGUGAGGUAAUGGCUCACCAAGACGAUGAUAGGUAGCCGGCCUGAGAGGGUGAACGGCCACAAGGGGACUGAGAUACGGCCCUUACUCUUACGGGAGGCAGCAGUGGGGAAUAUUGGACAAUGGAGGAAACUCUGAUCCAGCAAUUCUGUGUGCACGAUGAAGGUUUUCGGAUCGUAAAGUGCUUUCAGUAGGGAAGAAGAAAGUGACGGUACCUACAGAAGAAGCGACGGCUAAAUACGUGCCAGCAGCCGCGGUAAUACGUAUGUCGCAAGCGUUAUCCGGAAUUAUUGGGCGUAAAGGGCAUCUAGGCGGUCAAUCAAGUCGAAGGUGAAAACUUGUGGCUCAACCAUAAGCUUGCCUACGAAACUGAUUAACUAGAGUACUGGAGAGGUGGACGGAACUACACGAGUAGAGGUGAAAUUCGUAGAUAUGUGUAGGAAUGCCGAUGAUGAAGAUAGUUCACUGGACAGAAACUGACGCUGAAGUGCGAAAGCUAGGGGAGCAAACAGGAUUAGAUACCCUGGUAGUCCUAGCUGUAAACGAUGAUCACUGGGUGUGGGCAGGAAGACUGUCUGUGCCGAAGCUAACGCGAUAAGUGAUCCGCCUGGGGAGUACGACCGCAAGGUUGAAACUCAAAGGAAUUGACGGGGACCCGCACAAGCGGUGGAGCAUGUGGUUUAAUUCGAUGAUACGCGAGGAACCUUACCUGGGCUUAAAUGUAUAGUGCAUAAUGUGGAAACACAUUUUUCCUUCGGGACUCUUUACAAGGUGCUGCAUGGUUGUCGUCAGCUCGUGCCGUGAGGUGUCGGGUUAAGUCCCAUAACGAGCGCAACCCUCAUCGUUAGUUGCCAACACGUGAAGGUGGGGACUCUAGCGAGACUGCCGGUGUAAACCGUGAGGAAGGUGGGGAUGACGUCAAAUCAGCACGGCCCUUAUGUCCAGGGCUACACACGUGUUACAAUGGCCAAUACAAAGGGUAGCCACCUGGUGACAGGGCGCUAAUCCUCAAAGUUGGUCUUAGUUCGGAUCGGAGUCUGCAACUCGACUCCGUGAGGCUGGAUUCGCUAGUAAUCGUAGAUCAGCCAUGCUACGGUGAAUACGUUCCCGGGCCU